UUAUCAUGAACAAAGAAAUAUAAUAAUAACUAAUUAUUAUUGCCUCUAGGGCAUAUUUCCAACAAUUAUCUUGUCAACUUUGGAUGUUUUGUUUGCAUGAUUAUGCUAUUUUAUAUCUUUUUUGGGACUAACCUAUUAACUCAGUGCCAAGUGCGAGUUCCUGUUUUUUCCGUGUUUUGGACCCUUUUCAGAGAAUAAUAAUAAAAGGAGUCCAAACAGAAUAAAACCUUCGGAAAGAUUUUUUUCGUAAGAGAAGAUACACAGGGAACUUGAGAACCAAGGCAAAGGACUCCGGGGGAGGCCACAAGCCCCCUAGCCACGACCUGGGGGGCGCCUACCAGGCUUGUGGGCCCCCCAUGGCUCCUUUGCCCUACUUCUUCCGCCUAUAAAUUCCCUAAAAAUCCAAAACUGCCAGAGAGAGCCACGAAAAUACUUUUCCACCGCCGCAAGCUUCUGUCUCCGCAAGAUCCCAUCUGGGGCACGUUCCGGUGCCCUGCCGGAGGGGGGAUUCGGACACGGAGGGCUUCUUCAUCAACACCAUUGCCUCUCCGAUGAUGCGUGAGUAGUUCACCACAGACCUUCGGGUCCAUAUCUAGUAGCUAGAUGACUUCUUCUCUCUCUUGGAUCUUCAAUACAAAGUUCUCCAUGAUCUUCAUGGAGAUCUAUCCGAUGCAACCUUCUUUUGCGGUGUGUUUCUAGAGAUCCGAUGAAUUGUGGAUUUAUGAUCAGAUUAUCUAUGAAUGUUAUUUGAGUUUCCUCUGAUCUCUUAUAUGCCUGAUUUCGUAUCCUUGUAAUUCUCUUCGAGUUGUGGGUUUUGUUUGGCCAGCUUGAUCUAUAAUUCUUGCAAUGGGAUAAGUGCUUGGUUUUGGGUUCACACCGUGCGGUGUCCUCACCCAGUGACAGAAGGGGUAGCGAGGAACACAUCGUGUUGUUUCCAUCAGGGGUAAAAAGAUGGGGUUUAUAUCUAUUGCAUGAAUUUAUCCAUGUACAUCAUGUCACCUUGCUUAAGGCGUUACUCUGUUCGUUAUGAACUCAAUACACUAGAUGCAUGCUGGAUAGCGGUCGAUGUGUGGAGUAAUAGUAGUAGAUGCAGACAGUAUCGGUCUACUUGUCUCAGACUCGAUGCCUAUAUGUAUGACCAUUGCCUUAGAUAUCGUCAUGACUUUGCGCGGUUCUAUAAAUUGCUCGACAGUAAUUCAUUCACCCACCGUAAUACUUGCUAUCAUGAGAGAAGCCUCUAGUGAACACUAUGGCCCCCGGGUCUACUUCACAUCAUAUUUUCAGCUCUACACUCUUACCUUGUUGCACUUUCCACCUUCAGAUCUCACCUUGCAAUUAAUCGUGAAGGGAUUGAUAACCCCUUUAUAGCGUUGGGUGCAAGUUUGUUUGUUUUUGCGCAGGUACUUUGGUGACUUGCCUUGAUACUCCUACUGGAUUGAUACCUUGGUUCUCAAACUGAGGGAAAUACUUACUGCUAUUGUGCUGCAUCACCCUUUCCUUUUAAGGGAAAAACCAACGCAAGCUCAAGAGGUAGCAAGAAGAAGUUCUGGCGCCGUUGCCGGGGAGUAUCAAGUCAAGAAUAGUCUCCCUUCAACGUGUCAAUUUCUGGCACCGGGGAUUAUUCUAAGUGAAGCUUAUCCAAGUAACUAUCGCAAAAUCAUCCCUUGAAUUUACAUUUUUUCCUUUUUCCUCUCGUUUUCCUCUCCCCCACUUCUGAAAAAAAAUUACAAAAAUAUUUGCUUUCUUCGUUCGCCCUUUUCUUUCGCUUGCUUUCUGUUCGCUUGUGUGCUUGUCUGCUUGUUGAAGUCACCAUGACUGAAAACACCAAAUUGUGUGACUUCUCGAAUACUAAUAAUAAUGAUUUUAGUAGUACUCCGAUUGCUCCUGCCACUAGUGCGGAAUCAUAUGAAAUCAAUGCCGCUUUGCUGAAUCUUGUUAUGAAAGAGCAAUUUCCCGGCCUUCCUAGUGAAGAUGCCACAUCCCAUCUUAAUACCUUCAUUGAGUUAUGCGAUCAGCAAAAUAAGAAAGAUGUGGAUAAUGAUGUGAUUAAAUUGAAUCUAUUUCCGUUCUCAUUACGAGAUCGAGAAAAAACUUUGUUUUCAUCUUUGCCCAAAAAUAGUAUUGAUUCUUGGAACAAGUGUAAAGAUGCUUAUAUAUCCAAGUAUUUUCCACCGGCUAAGAUUAUAUCUCUCCGUAAUGAUAUCAUGAGUUUUAAGCAACUAGAUCAUGAACAUGUUGCACAAUCUUGGGAGAGAAUGAAAUUUUGCUUCUAGAAAUAUCUUGGAUUCCGCCUCCGGUGGAACUUUCAUGGAAAUCACAUUAGGAGAAGCCACAAAACUCCUAGACAAUAUCAUGACAAACUAUUCUCAAUGGCACACUGAAAGGUCACCUACUAGUAAAAAAGUGCAUGCUAUAGAAGAAAUUAACUCGUUGAGUGCUAAGAUGGAUGAGUUAAUGAAAUUGUUUGCUAGUAAAGGUGCUCCUCUAGAUCCAAAUUAUAUGCCUUUGUCUUCCUUGAUUGAGAAUAGCAAUGAGAGCUUGGAUGUUAAUUUUGUUGGUAGGAAUAAUUUUGGCAACAACAAUGCUUAUAGAGGUAACUUUAUUCCUAGGCCUUUUCCUAGUAAUCCCUCUAAUAACUUUGGCAAUUCCUACAACAAUGCUCAUGGAAAUUACAAUAAAUUACCCUCUGAUCUUGAGAGUAAUACUAAAGAGUUUAUCAACUCGCAAAAGAUUUUCAAUGCGUCCAUAGAAGAAAAACUGCUCAAAAUUGAUGACUUGGCUAGGACCGUUGAUAGAAUGUCUCUUGAUAUUGAUGCUUUGAAAUUGAGAUGUGCUCCUCCCAAGAUUAAUAUGGAUGAAACUUUGAAAGCUAUGCGUGUUUCCAUGAAUGAGAAUAAAGAAAGAAUCACCCAAAUUCGUGCUAGACAUGAAUGGCUUAAAAAGGCGUGUUCUCGUGAUGAGAAUCACGAAGAUAUUAAAGUUCUUGGUGUCUCCCAUUGAAUCCUUGUUUUGUAAUGUCAAACCUAAUGAUGAUGGGGCUGGAUAUGAAUCCACUUUGGUUGCAAAACGCCCCAAUGAUUCGGAGUCUAUCUACCUUGAUGCUAAAAGCACUGAAAGUAGAGUAGAGGAUAUCAAAACUUUGAGUGGUGAUGAAAUUACUACUUUGGAUUUCAAGGAAUUCAAAUAUGAUAGUUGCUCUUUGAUUGAAUGUAUUUCCUUGAUGCAAUCCAUGCUAAACUCUCCACAUGCCUAUAGCCAAAAUAAAGCCUUUACCGAUCAUAUCAUUGGUGCUAUGAUGAAAUCUCUUGAAGAGAAACUUGAGUUGGAAGUAUCUAUUCCUAGAAAACUUCAUGAUGAGUGGGAACCUACUAUCAAAAUCAAGAUUAAAAACUAUGAAUGCAAUGCUUUGUGUGAUUUGGGUGCUAGUGUUUCCGCCAUUCCAAAGUCUUUAUGUGAUGUUCUAGGCUUCAACGAAAUUGAUGAGUGCUCUCUUAAUUUGCAUCUUGCGGAUUCUACUGUUAAGAAACCUAUGGGAAGGAUCAAUGAUGUUCUUAUUAUUGCAAAUAGGAACUAUGUACCCGUGGAUUUCGUUGUGCUUGAUAUUGAUUGCAAUCCGACAUGUCCCAUCAUUCUUGGUAGACCUUUCCUUAGGACUAUGGGUGCCAUCAUCGAUAUGAAGGAAGGGAAUAUUAGAUUUCAAUUUCCAUUAAAGAAGGGCAUGGAACACUUUCCUAGAAAGAAAAUAAGAUUGCCUUAUGAAUCCAUGACGAGGGCUACUUAUGGUUUGAGCACCAAAGACGGCGAUACUUGAUUCUAUCGCCUUAUGCCUAGCUAAGGGCGUUAAACAAUAGCGCUUGCUGGGAGGCAACCCAAUGAAUUUAUCUUUGCUUUUUUGCUUUCUGUUUUUUGUGUCCACACCAUCAUAAUUCUGUUAUGAUUGUGUUUUUUGUGUUUCUCUUUGUGUUUGUGCCAAGUAAAACCUUUAUGACUAGUUUUGGUGAUGGUUGUUUGAUCUUGCUGAAAAAGACAGAAACUUUGCGCUCACGAAAUUAUUUUUAGUUCCUAUCCAGAAAGAGCUUUUGAGUUGAUUCUUUUUGAUGCUGGUUGAUACGCCAAUUUCCAUAAUUGUCGUAAUAUUUCAGAAUUUUUGAGAUAACAAAAGUAUACGAAGUAUACAGAUUGCUACAGACUGGUCUGUUUUUGACAGAUUCAGUUUUUGUUGUGUUGAUUGCUUACUUUGAUGAAACUUUGGAUAGUAUCGGUGGGUACUAGAUAUGGAAAAGUGAGAAUAUAGUAAUCUAACAUCAAUCUAAAUAGAAAUCAAGUUUGCUACAGUACCUAAAGAGGUGGUGGUAUGUUUUCUUAUGCUAUUGAUAUCACGAGUUUCUGUUUAAAUUUUGUGUUGUGAAGUUUUCAAGUUUUGGGUGAUGUUCUCAUGGACAAUGGGAUAAAGAGUGGAAAGAGCUCAAGCUUGGGAAUGCCCAAGGCAUCCCAUGCCAAAUUCAAGGACACCAAAAAGCCUAAGCUUGGGGAUGCCCCGGGAAGGCAUCCCCUCUUUCGUCUUCAAUCCAUCGGUAACGUUACUUGGAGCUGUAUUUUUAUUCACCACAUGAUAUGUGUUUUGCUUGGAGUGUCGUGUAUUAUAGGAGUAUUUUCUUUUUGUUGUGUCACAAUCAUCCUUGCUGCACACCUUUUUGAGAGAGACAUGCACUCAUCAUGAAUUUGCUAGAAUACUCAUUGAGCUUCACUUAUAUCUUUUGAGUUAGGCAAUUUAGGUCGCAUGUGCUUCACUUAUAUCUUUUGAGCUAGAUAACUUUGCUCUAGUAUUUCACUUAGAUAUUUUUAGAGCACGACGGUGUCAUAUUUUGGAGAAAUAAAAAAUCUCGAUCUUCACUUAUAUCUUUUUGAGAGUGCUCUCUCUGAGUUAACUUGGUAGUUGACGUGUGUCAUGAAAGAGUCCUAAACAUGAUAGGCAUCCAAAGAGGAUAUAAUAAAAACUUCCAUAUUCAUGUGCAUUAAUUAGAAAGAGAAGUUUGAUUCCUAACAAUUAGUUUUGAGAUAUGGAUUUGGUGAUAUUAGAGUUAUGUUAGUAGGGUGUUGUGAAUCUAGAAAUACUUGUGUUGAAGUUAGUGAUUCCCGUAGCAUGCAUGUAUGGUGAACCGCUAUGUUAGGAAGUCAGAACAUAAUUGAUUUAUUGAUUGUCAUCCUUUGUGUUGCGGUCGGGAUCGCGCGAUGGUUAACACCUACCAACCCUUCCCCUAGGAGUAUGCGUUUAGCACUUUGUUUUGAUUACUAAUAAAACUUUCGCAAUAAGUAUAUGAGUUCUUCAUGACUAAUGUGAGUCCAUGGUAUAGAUGCACUUUCACCUUCCACCAAUGCUAGCUUCUCUAGUGUCGCGCAACUUUUGUCGGUACACAAACCCACCAUAUACCUUCCUCAAAACAGCCAUCAUACCUACCUAUUAUGGCCUUUUCAUAGCCAUUCCGAGAUAUGUUGCCAUGCAACUCCCACCGUUCCAUCUCAUGACUUGUGCCGUCACUUUCAUAUUGCCAUUGCAUGAUCAUAAGAUAGCUAGCGAGAUGUUUCAAUGUCAUACGCUAAGCUAGAUCGUUGCACAUCCCGGUACACUGCCGGAGGCAUUUCCUUUGGAGUCAUCAUUGCUCUAAGUGUUGAGUUGUAAGUAAAUAAAAGUGUGAUGAUUAUAAUUAUUAGAGCAUUGGCCCAUGUGAGGAAUAAAAAAAAGAGGCCAAAGAUGCCCACCAAAAAAAUGAAAAGAGGCCAAAGAGCCCCAAAAGAAGAGAGAGAAAAAAAGAGAGAAGGGACAAUGCUACUAUCUUUUUCCACACUUGUGCUUCACAAAAGCACCAUGUUCUUCAUGAUAGAGAGUCUCUUGUUUUGACACUUCCAUAUACUAGUGGGAAUCUUCAUUAUAUAACUUGGCUUGUAUAUUCCAAUGAUGGGCUUCCUCAAAAUUGCCCUAGGUCUUCGUGAGCAAGCAAGUUGGGUGCACACCCACUAGUUCUUCUUUUGAGCUUUCACACACUUAUAGCUCCCAUGCAUCCAUUGCAUGGUAAUCCCUACUCAUUCACAUUGAUAUGUAGUGAUGGGCAUCUCCAUAGCCCGUUGAUACGCCGAGUCAAUGUGACCAUCUCCUCCUUUUUGCCUCACAACCUCCACCACACUCUGUUCCACCUAUAGUGCUAUAUCCAUGGCUCACGCUCAUGUAUUGCGUGAGAGUUGAAAAAGUUUGAGAAAGUAAGAGUGCGAAAACAAUUACUUGGCCAAUACCGGGGUUGUGCAUGAUUUAAAUUCGUUGUGUGGGGAUGAUGGAGCAUAGCCAGACUAUAUGAUUUUGUAGGGAUAACUUUCUUUAGCCUUGUUAUUUCAAAAGUUCAUGAUCACUUUGCUAGCAUGCUUGAGGUAUUAUUGUUUUCAUGUCAAUAGCAAACUAUUGUUUUGAAUCUUACGGAUCUGAACAUUCAUGUCACAAGAAAGAAGUUACAAAGGACAAAUAUGUUAGGUAGCAUUCCACAUCAAAAAUUUAGUCUUUAUCACUUCCCUACUCGAGGACGAGUAGGAGUUAAGCUUGGGGAUGCUUGAUACGUCUCCAACGUAUCUAUAAUUUUUGAUGAUUCCAUGCUAUUAUCUUGUCAACUUUGGAUGUUUUGUUUGCAUAAUUAUGCUAUUUUAUAUCUUUUUUGGGACUAACCUAUUAACUCAGUGCCAAGUGCCAGUUCCUGUUUUUUCCGUGUUUUUGACCCUUUUCAGAGAAGAAUAUUAAACGGAGUCCAAACGGAAUAAAACCUUCAGAAAGAUUUUUUCCGUAAUAGAAGAUACACAGGGAACUUGAGAACCAAGGCAAAGGACUCCGGGGGAGGCCACAAGCCCCCUAGCCGCGGCCUGGGGGGUGCCUACCAGGCUUGUGCCCCCCGUGGCUCCUUUGCCCUACUUCUUCUGCCUAUAAAUUCCCUAAAAAUCCAAAACUGCCAGAGAGAGCCACGAAAAUACUUUUCCGCCGCCGCAAGCUUUUGUCUGCGCAAGAUCCCAUCUGGGCACGUUCCGGUGCCCUGCCGGAGGGGGGAUUCAGACACGGAGGGCUUCUUCAUCAACACCAUUGCCUCUCCGAUGAUGCGUGAGUAGUUCACCACAGACCUUCGGGUCCAUAGCUAGUAGCUAGAUGGCUUCUUCUCUCUCUUGGAUCUUCAAUACAAAUUUCUCCAUUAUCUUCAUGGAGAUCUAUCCGAUGUAAUCUUCUUUUGCGGUGUGUUUGUCGAGAUCCGAUGAAUUGUGGAUUUAUGAUCAGAUUAUCUAUGAAUGUUAUUUGAGUUUCUUCUGAUCUCUCUUAUGCAUGAUUUCAUAUCCUUGUAAUUCUCUUCGAGUUAUGGGUUUUGUUUGGCCAUCUUGAUCUAUGAUUCUUGCAAUGGGAGAAGUGUUUUGUUUUGGGUUCAUACCGUGCGGUGACCUCACCCAGUGACAGAAGGAGUAGUGAGGCACGCAUCAUGUUGUUGCCAUCAAGGGUAAAAAGAUGGGGUUUAUAUCUAUUGUAUGAAUUUAUCCCUCUACAUCAUGUCAUCUUGCUUAAGGCGUUACUCUGCUCGUUAUGAACUCAAUACACUAGAUGCAUGCUGGAUAGCGGUCGAUGUGUGGAGUAAUAGUAGUAGAUGCACACAAUAUCGGUCUACUUGUCUCGGACGUGAUGCCUAUAUGUAUGAUCAUUGCCUUAGAUAUCGUCAUGACUUUGCGCGGUUCUAUCAAUUGCUCGAGAGUAAUUCGUUCACCCACCGUAAUACUUGCUAUCAUGAGAGAAGCCUCUAGUGAACACUAUUGCCCCCGGGUCUACUUCACAUCAUAUUUUCAGCUCUACACUUUUACUUUGUUGCACUUUCCACCUUCAGAUCUCACCUUGGAAUUAAUUGUGAAGGGAUUGACAACCCGUUUAUAGCGUUGGGUGCAAGUUUGUUUGUUUUUGCGCAGGUACUUUGGUGACUUGCCUUGAUACUCCUACUGGAUUGAUACCUUGG
rnacentral:lncRNA from 1 species